AUACGGAGGAUCCGAGCGUUAUCCGGAUUUAUUGGGUUUAAAGGGUGCGCAGGCGGGAGAUUAAGUCGGCGGUGAGAUUUUGCAGCUCAACUGUAAAAGUGCCUUCGAAACUGGUUUUCUUGAGUGUAGAUGAAGUAGGCGGAAUUUGUGGUGUAGCGGUGAAAUGCAUAGAUAUCACGAGGAACUCCGAUUGCGCAGGCAGCUUACUAAACUACUACUGACGCUCAGGCACGAAGGCGUGGGGAUCAAACAGGAUUAGAUACCCUGGUAGUCCACGCAGUAAACGAUGAUUACUAGCUGUUUGCGAUACAAUGUAAGCGGCUGAGCGAAAGCGUUAAGUAAUCCACCUGGGGAGUACGUUCGCAAGAAUGAAACUCAAAUGAAUUGACGGGG
rnacentral:rRNA from 1 species